UGAAUAGUGUACGAAAUACAACAUCUCCCGUUUACCGUUUACCGACUGCAAUGACGACAAUACAAUUCGUCUUACUCAUCAUAACGGCAGUCAGCGCGACAUUGGCAACAGACUAUUGCGAUCGCAAUAGCAAUAUAAAAUCACAGUGAUUUAAAAAUGUUCCAGUGAGCGGAAAACACAUGCGCCGCCGAAAAGAAGGCUUCAAACAACAAAAAACAACAGCAACAAAAACAAAAAUUAUGUAUAAUUUGCUCUGGUGACUCGGAUAUAUAUAUUUGAAAAAUUAAAAAUAGAAUAUUUGAACAACGUAAUAAGGAAAUUUGCUGGCGAUAAGACAAGUUGUUUAUUACAUAGUUUAAAGUUGGCUUUUGCUAUAUUGACUCACGUAGGCCUGCAAAAACUUAUAAACCUAAGUCUAAUUAAACAGCUGUUACCAGAAUCUUACCGUUCAGUUGUUAUUUGUUAUUAUUUGGUUAACUGUGUAUACAAAGUUUCGUAAGAAUUUUAUUGAGUUAGUUAGUUAUAUCCUCGCUAAGUAAUCUAUCAAUUUAGAUAGGAAAGUUAAGUUAAGUGUUACGUUACAACAGAUACCACAUCCAACCAUAAUUUUAAAUGUUAUGUCAUUUAUAGAGAAACUCUCGCAUUCUAAGGGGCCUGUUACACGUUCAAUAUUUAACGUGAUAUUAGGAUCGCGAUCUAUAUUGAAUAUUGACGGAUUGCGGGUGAAUACUUCGCGACUGCUAGACUUUCAAUGUAUAUUACAUCAAUAUUUAUACAAUGCUAGUUGUGUUUUCACAAGAAAAACUAUUUUAAAAAUGUAUUUGUUGAUUUUUUCGUGCUACACGUUCAAUAAAUAUCGCGAUACAGGAAAUAACACGAUAAAUGCUGAACGGGUAGCAGGCUCCUAAGAGGACUAUUAGUCUGUAAAAUAUAGUAAUUCUGUAUAUUGAUAAUCGCCCAUCGACGAUAUUGUACGAAACGAAUUUUGUCUGGAUCUAAACGUAGUUAAUUAAUUCUCUAGGAGGAUUAGAAGAAUGUCUUAGUAUAACCUUAAGUUAAUGACUUUUGGUCGAAAACUAAUGUUUAUUUCAUUCAUUACAGUUUAUAGAACAAAAACCGCAUCUCUUUUGGUUUCAAGGUAACACAAGUUAAGGCGCCUACAUACACAGUCAUAUUACGUAUUGUUCUCACCCUGAUCUGCCAUUAAAAUUUCAUGAUUUUUAAAUUCAUUUUAAGCUUAUAUUUAUUGACUCUUAUAAUUUAAAAAAUUUAAACAAAAUUCCAUUUCGAAUUACACGGUUUUAAAACCAUUUGUUAACAUCAUACUUCUCCGAGACCGAACAAAGACUAGUGUAUUUCGGAUUUUUGCCAGCCUUGCAUUCCGAAGCUGCUACCGAACAACUUUUAUAAAUCGGGAAGUUGAUCAUAUUUGUUGUUGCAUAA